rnacentral:tRNA from 1 species
UCCCGUUUAGCUCUGGUAGAGCGCGUCACUAGUAAUGACGAGGUCAGUCGUUCGAGUCGGCUAAUGGGAA